CACGUAGGGGGCGAGCGUUGUCCGGAUUCAUUGGGCGUAAAGCGCGUGUAGGCGGCAGACCAAGUCGGCGGUGAAAGCGCCCGGCUCAACUGGGCGAGGUCCGUGGAAACUGGUCAGCUGGAGGACGGUAGAGGCGAGUGGAAUUCCCGGUGUAGUGGUGAAAUGCGUAGAGAUCGGGAGGAACACCUGUGGCGAAGGCGGCUCGCUGGGCCGGUCCUGACGCUGAGACGCGAAGGCGUGGGGAGCGAACGGG
rnacentral:rRNA from 1 species